GUUGUAAAGUUCUUUUACGAGGGAUAAUUAUGAUAGUACUUCGUGAAUAAGUGACAGCAAACUAUGUGCCAGCAGCUGCGGUAAUACAUAGGUCGCGAGCAUUAUUCGGAUUUAUUGGGCGUAAAGCAAGCGCAGGCGGAUGUGUAAGUUCUGUGUUAAAUGCAGCUACUCAAUAGUUGUAUGCACCGAAUACUACAUGUCUAGAUUGUGGUAGGGAGUUUCGGAAUUAAGCAUGGAGCGGUGGAAUGUGUAGAUAUGCUUAAGAACACCAGAGGCGAAGGCGGAAACUUAGGCCAUAAAUGACGCUUAGGCUUGAAAGUGUGGGGAGCAAAUGGGAUUAGAUACCCCAGUAGUCCACACCGUAAACGAUGGGUAUUAGAUAUUAGGGCUUUAGCUUUAGUGUUGUAGCUUACGCGUUAAAUACCCCGCCUGGGUAGUACAUAUGCAAAUAUGAAACUCAAAGGAAUUGACGGGGACCUGAACAAGUGGUGGAGCAUGUUGCUUAAUUCGAUAAUACA
rnacentral:rRNA from 1 species